GAGUUUGAUCUUGGCUCAGGAUGAACGCUGGCGGCGUGCCUAAUACAUGCAAGUCGAGCGAACAGAUAAGGAGCUUGCUCCUUUGAAGUUAGCGGCGGACGGGUGAGUAACACGUGGGUAACCUACCUAUAAGACUGGGGAUAACUUCGGGAAACCGGAGCUAAUACCGGAUAACAUUUAGAACCGCAUGGUUCUAAAGUGAAAGAUGGUUUUGCUAUCACUUAUAGAUGGACCCGCGCCGUAUUAGCUAGUUGGUAAGGUAACGGCUUACCAAGGCGACGAUACGUAGCCGACCUGAGAGGGUGAUCGGCCACACUGGAACUGGGACACGGUCCAGACUCCUACGGGAGGCAGCAGUAGGGAAUCUUCCGCAAUGGGCGAAAGCCUGACGGAGCAACGCCGCGUGAGUGAUGAAGGGUUUCGGCUCGUAAAACUCUGUUAUUAGGAAGAACAAAUGUGUAAGUACUGUGCACAUCUUGACGGUACUAAUCAGAAAGCCACGGCUAAC
rnacentral:rRNA from 1 species